UGGGGAAUAUUGGACAAUGGGGGGAACCCUGAACCAGCCAUGCCGCGUGUGUGAAGAAGGCCUUAUGGUUGUAAAGCACUUUAAGCGAGGAGGAGGGUACUGGUAUUAAUACUACCAGCUACUGGACGUUACUCGCAGAAUAAGCACCGGCUAACUCUGUGCCAGCAGCCGCGGUAAUACAGAGGGUGCGGGCGUUAAUCGGAUGUACUGGGCGUAAAGCGUGCGUAGGCGGCUAAUUGAGUCGGAUGUGAAAUCCCCGAGCUUAACUUGGGAAUUGCAUUCGAUACUGGUUAGCUAGAGUGUGGGAGAGGAUGGUAGAAUUCCAGGUGUAGCGGUGAAAUGCGUAGAGAUCUGGAGGAAUACCGAUGGCGAAGGCAGCCAUCUGGCCUAACACUGACGCUGAGGUACGAAAGCAUGGGGAGCAAACAGG
rnacentral:rRNA from 1 species